rnacentral:pre_miRNA from 1 species
GAUGUACUUCCUCCGUUCGGAAUUACUUGUCACAAAAAUGGAUGUAUCUACAAUUAAAAUACAUCUAAAUACAUUCAUUUCUUGGACGACUAAUUCCGAAUGGAGGGAGUAUUAU